CAUACAAAUGUGGAUUUCCUACUGGCAUCUAAGAUACCCCUCUCGACUACCUUAGGAUCACAUUACAAUGGGUGUUCAUCUAGAAGCAUGCUUCAUGCAUCAUACUCAUGAAUCAUGCCUCUCAUUAUGAACCAUAAAUAAUUAUAUAACAACAAAAAUAUCUCAACAUUGUUAAAGACAAAAUUGUCUAUGCAAACAAACGAUCUCAUGUUUUGAAGUUUAAUCAAAUAACAUUAAAACGGGUUAACAUCAUAAAAUAACCUAGGAUGAAAACAUAACACCUAGAUCCAAAAUCCCAAAAUAUACAUAACCUAGAACCAGAAUCCCAAACAUAGAAAAACAUCUAAGCAAACACUUAGCUCUUAGGAAUAGAAAAACAUCUAGAAAAACACUUAGGAAUAGAAAAACAUCUAGGCUAAAACACCCAAAUACAUGACCAAACGAUGUCUUCUAAAACCGUCCAAGAGAUAUUGAGCUAAACGCUCAAUGCUUAUAAUACCUUGAGAAGGUAUUCAACAUCUCUCGAAAAUAAAAAUGGGUCGAGAGAAUGUCUUUGACAAACACCUUAAAACACUUAAUUAUUAAAACAUAUAAGAAAGCUUAAGCAAGUUAAACAUUAUUUGUCUAAAAUGAGACAAAACCCAAAGAAGCGUUUACUUGAUUAAAAUGAUACCAUGAGCUAAAUUGGCACCUUAUCUUUUGAUGAAGUAUUUAUAUAUGCUUUGUAUAUUCAGAUUAAAGAACUUAAUUGUUAAAUGUUACCUAACGGUAGGAAAUCAAAAAGCACUAUGUUGUUCUGAGAAAACAUUAAAUGACAUUAAAUGCUCAACGUUCAAAGCACAACAAAGUGAUAAGAAAAUACAUAUCUAUUGCAUCCACAAUUUACUCUAAUUUUGCAGAUAAGCUUUUCUACACACAUCCAUGGUGCUACAGAUCAAAUAUAAAAAAGCGGACGUUAGAGACAAAGAAGAUAUUCACAGAAUGUUCUUCACUUGAAGAAAAGUCUAAAACGAUCAUACAACUACUUUAAGCAAGGACUAAAAAAGCAUGCAUGCUCUGACAAAAUUUGACUUACACAACGAAUGUUGUUAAAAGAAGACAGAGAAAUUACACGUAUUGGGACUACCAAUUACAAAUCCAGUCUAACGGACAUAUAUCCACGAAGUUUAUGAAUAAAAGGUCUCUCAAGAAGAAAAUCAAGAGGAUAACUCAAGAGCACAAGUAAAGCUUACAACUUAAAUGAAAUCUCAGCUAAGGUUGCUGAGUACCAAGAGUGGUGCGAAUACUCAAAUGAAAUCUCGGCUAAGGUUGUUGAGUACCAGGAGUGGUGCGAAUACUCAAAGAAAAUCUCGACAAGGGUGUUGAAUACCAAGAGUGGUGUUAAUACUCAGAGGAAUACUUGGCGAGGUAGCUGAGUACCAAAAGUAGUGUUAAUACUCAUUUGUAAUCGUGUGAAGAUUAUAGUGGAACCCUCUACGAAGGAGACUGGAUGUAGCUCAGUUGGAGUGAACCAAUAUAAAAUCUCUUAUGUUAUUUUCUCUUCUCUUAACUAAAUGAUCUUCUUGAAAAACCUGCAGUUGAGCUCUAUAUUUCAAAAUACAAGAACUUCCAAGCUAAACGAUCAUUUCUUUUAAAGAAUUUCUUACAAAACACUGUAGUAGAAAUAUUCUGAAUAGCACAACAAUCUUAUCAACACAUUUACAUAUAUUUCAAAUGCUCGAUAAUGUGCUAUAUCAGAAGGGUUACGAAAAACAUUUUCCAUAAACAAUAUUUAAACCCCACCCCCUCCCCUCUUUAGUGUCUUCCAGGUACUUCACAUAAAACUUACUAGGAUACCAUAAAGCAUUUCUUGAUUUUUGAAUUUUAACUUAUAAAACAAAGAAAAAGAAUUUUGUUCCCUAAAAUCUUAUUUGGGUCCUUUCAAGUUAUAGGAAAGUUACUUUAUAACAAGUGAUGGAAGUCUCCUUGGACCAGAACUUCAAUCUAGAAGAUGGAAAUGAAAUGUGCGGCAUAAUGUGAUAAAUUGAUGUGGUUAAAGGUGUAUUUCGAUGAAGGUAUGAUGUAUUAGUGAUGCUUGAAGCUCAUACAACCUUCCUAUUGAGGAAGGAAACUAGGGGAGAAGAAGAAAAACUUUGAAUUAGAGAAGACUCAAGAGCAGCAUGGUUGGAAAUUUCAACAACAAUUCUUUACUUGCAUCAAAAGUAUUCUACAAAGGAUAAAAGCAUCUUAUUUAUAGGAAAUGGGAGUCUCUAAUCUAAACCAAAUUUCCCUCCAAUUUUUGAAUUAAAAGCCAACUACAAAGGCUAGCUGGAAAAUCACACAUUACAUGCCAAGUCACAGGGUACACGUGUGCUAGGUGCAAUCUCCAAAUGCACUGGAAUUGAGCACCUUUAGUGUCCACUAGGCAUUUGUGAAUCCAAAAACUCAUCCAAAGAUCUAGGCUAGCUUGAUUGUUGGCCCAAUAAGCUUGGUUGGAUGAUCCAUGGGCCUAGUGAACGUGUCCUAGAGCUUAUUGUAUCCUACAAAACAAAAAUAUACAAAGGUUUUAAGAGAAAAGAAGGAAGAACUAAUAGUCAAUCUUCCAUAUAAGCAAGGUCCUUUGCAAUCAUUUUUCCUCUUGUAUUCUUCUUGCCAUGGCUCUCGUUAUAGGUCUUGUGCUUCCUCUAGAUGGUCCUUCAUCAAACCCUCCCUAUUGAAAAGGAUUUAUCCUAAUAUCUCCUUCUUCCUAUUGAUCAUCUCGUGUGAAUGGAAUUAAAUCACAUACGUUAAAAGUAGGACUUACACCAUAUUCAAUAGGAAGGUCUAAUCUAUAUGCAUUAUCAUUAAUUUUCUUGACCACCUUGAAAGGACCAUCAGUUGAAAAAUAAGACUGAUUUAUUAUUCUCAGUCAUAAAAAAUACAUUUUAAUAUCCUUUAUUUGUAAUAAUCUGAUUCUCCUAAAAAGGAAAAUAGGAAAACUAGGAAAGUAAAAUAAAAUAAAAUAUUAUAUAUCUAUUUCCUCUAAUUAGGAAGAUUCUAAAGAUAUUAUCUCAAAUUACAACACUCCCCCUCAAGCUGGAUCAUACAAGAUUGUAUGAACCAAGCUUGGAAUAAACAAACUCAAUUGUAGAGAACGUCAAUAAACCAAAUUGGACAGCAAUGGACAAAAGCGAACUAGCACAAUGAAACUCCAACUUGGACAACAAUGGACGAGCGCGAACUAGCACCAUGAAACUUCAACUUGGACACCAAUGGACGAGAAAGAUUUCCAUCAAAAAUGGAUGAUGACUUGUAGCAGCAAACAACAACAAACUGCAAUAACAGAUGAAGGGCCUGCAGUGGCGAACAACAACAAACUACAGUGACUAGAUUGCCAUCAAUAGUGGCGAACAACAACAAAACUUCAAGAACAUGAUUUCCAUGAGUAACAUAUGGGAGGCCUUCCAAGGAUAACAACCACAAACCUAUAGGGACUUAACCACCCUAAACAACAACCAACCUUCAGGGCCUUAACUGCCCUGAACAACAAUAAGCGUUUAGGAAACAACUGUCCUUUAGAGGCUAACAGCAACAAACCUGCAGGGACUACAGUACCCUGCAGUGGCUGGAACUUUCUCCUCCUCACGACUGAACAACGGAACGUGUAGGUGGAAGAACUGAUAGACUCGAUCCAUACGAGGAACAACUCUGAAUCCCAUAACUUCGAAAGAGUCAAUUCAACGGUCGGUCUCAAAGAACUACUCCACAUUUCAGGUGAGUUGUUAUAACAAAGCAUUGAUGGUGAAGAGAUGCUUUCACAUUAGUGAUGGUAGAAACCAAAAACACUAAAUACCAAAGACACUUUGGAGGUCCUAAGUUCUCUACUAGACUACUCCCAAAUGGUGAUACUUACACUGUAUCAUAAAAGUACGGGUUAAACUCUAGCCUAAGAAAAAGUUCUCUGUAGGGGAGAAAAAUAUUUUCCCUCACAAUAAACAGUGGAAAGAAAAUGCGGCAACUUAUUGAGGCACUCUUAAUCUUGAUCAAAGAAAAUGCGGCAACUUAUUGAGGCGACAACGACAAACUACAGAGGUUACAAUGACUAACUACGACGACUGACUACGUCGACGGCUGACUGCGUCGGCGCCAACUAUGGUAGCAGCGGAACAAAGUAUUGUUGCUCGAGAAACAUAAACGAAUGGAGAGGUAGAACCCUUCGUAAUGGAGAGGAAAGAACUGACGCGAUGGCGUCGAAAGAGGUCUCCUUGUCAAGAGCGGGUCAUGAAGUAUAUCUUAGUGAUUCAGUAGAAUAGGGAGAUGAUGGCGUUAUAGUGACAUAUCCGAAGGAGCAUAUUACAGAGAUGAAGGUACGACGACACGAUCGGCAGUGACGCGGUGUGAUUCCGACAUUGGGAGGGUGGCGCGAGACGAACACGCACCCGAGACCAGCUGAAGAAAGGUGGCGUGUGUGGAGGCUUCUAGGAGGUGGAUUACCAGGGUUGAGUUGCGCUCCUUGAGGCACACCCAACCCUUAUCUUCUCCGGAGAAAAUGACAACGACAACGGCAACAACUAUCAGACUGAUUUGGCGCUCGUGGCGGUGCGUGAAUGAGAAAUAGCCAUUGUAACCAGCGUCAUCGCUCGAAGAGACGAUCCAGAUCCGCUGGUCACCGGUCGAAACUACGACAGUGGCUAACGGUGAACGAUGGCUGACGGCAGAGAGCGGCGAUGCACAACGAAAUACAGUGAACGGGGAUUCUGAUUGGAAGUUAAUGAAGAUGUCAACUAUGGGCAUUACUUAAACUACCAGGUGCAGUUACUGGUCUCAAAAGGAAUGGGUUCGAAUCCCAUUCUGAGACAAAUUCCAGAAGUAUAGCUUAUAGCUAGGUCAGAUUCAACUUUGGAAGUAUAACUUAUAGCUAGGUCAGAUUCAACUCUAAAAGUAUAGCUUAUAGCAAGGCCAGAUUCAACUUUGGAAGUAUAACUUAUAGCUAGGUCAGAUUCAACUCUNAUAGCUAGGUCAGAUUCAACUCUAAAAGUAUAGCUUAUAGCAAGGCCAGAUUCAACUUUGGAAGUAUAACUUAUAGCUAGGUCAGAUUCAACUCUGGAAGUAUAACUUAUAGCUAGGCCAGAUUCUGGAAGCACAAUUUUGUGUAGCUGUUAUCAGAAGCAGAAGUAGAAGCGUCCUUCCCCUCUGGAUGAGCCACCCACGACUUCUUCUUUAGAUUCCGAGGAACACGCAAAAACCAUCUUCUCUACGGCAUGGAAAAGAAGAGGAAAAAGCUUCGUCGGGAGAAUAGGAUGAAGAAUACUCCGGAGAAGAGGAAGAAGAUGACGAUCUUCCACCACCCAUAACCAAAACCAACCCUCUACUCGCUCUCAUGAACCCUCAUCCCAAAUCUGCAUGUUCUGAUUUCGAAAUAGAAUCUGAAUCAAAGACCGAGUCGGAAACUAAAUCCACUCCUACGAAGACAGCGGAAGUAGAUCAGACAAGCUCUGACACCAAGUUGAAAAAUAAGACUGAUUUAUUAUUCUCAAUCAUAAAAAAUACAUUCUGAUACCCUCUAUUUGUAAUAAUCUAAUUCACCCAAAAAGGGAAAUAGAAAAACUAGGAAAGUAAAAUAAACUAAAAGAUUAUAUAUCUAUUUCCUCUAAUUAAGAAGAUUAUAAAGAUAUUAUCUCAAAUUACAGCACCAUCUCCUCUUUUGUUGUUGGAGCUCAUCUCUUAAGUGUAUGCUCUCUUGACUAGUCCUCACUACCUUGCACACUAGAUUGAUGGACACCCAUGUUGUGAAGUAGGAAAGUGUUUUCACAAGGUUUUCAAAGAACUUUCACAACUAUUAAUGAAAGGGUUUUUAUAAAUACUUUUUUUUUUGUUUUUUUGGAGAUUUCUAGAAACUAAGGGAAAAGAUGUUCCAAGUAGAUCCCAAAAAGGAGAGGUGAGUCACAAUGGACAAGCUUAGAAACCAAGUCCUUCCUAGCUAGAGUUUUCUUAUGUUACCUUUACCAAAGUUUCUAGGUAAAGAUCUUCCAAAAGCUUUUCAAAUGCAAAUGUAAAAUUUCUCCUAAACCAAAAGAAGGUUUACCUAAGAUGCAAUUACACACCUAUAUAUCACGAAGACUUAUGAAAGGAAACAAUGCAAGGAAUAAGAAGAAAGCGAAUUGAAAUGCAAAUGAAAGUUAAGAUGCUAGACAAACCUAUGUGAAAGUGCAAGUGACAGUUAGAGACCAUUGACACACUUUUGUUAAAGGCAAAAUCAUUUAUGUGCCUAAACACUCAUGUUUUGAAGUUUAAUCAAAUAACAUUAAAACAAGAUAAUAAUUAGAAAAUAACUUAGGGUGAAAACACAAGACUUAGAGCCUAAACCCCAAACAUACACAACUUAAAACUACAACCCCCAAACAUAGAACCAGAACCCCCAAACAUAGAAAAGCUUAGGUAAACACUUAGGUCUUAGGAUAUAGAAAAACAUGUAGGUUAAAACACCCAAAUGCAUGGCUAAACGUUGUUAUGCCUAAAACGUCUAAGAGAGAUUGAGUUAAACGCUCAAUGCUUAUAAAACCUAGAAUAGGUAUUCAGCUUCUCUCGAAAACAAAAGAGUUCAAGACAAUGUCUCUGACAAAACACAUUAAAUGACAUAAUUAUUAAAGUAUGAAAGAAAGCUUAAGCAAGCUAAAUACUAUUUGUCUAAAGAGAGACAAAAACUAGCUUUUAUUUGACUAAACGAUACUAUGAGCAUAACAAGUACCUCAUCUCUUAAUGAAGUAUAUAUCUACGUUUAGUUGUCAUGAAAUUUUCUUCAAUUUUUUAUUUUAAAAAACGAAAAUUCCACAUCAUAAAUUUGUUUACUAAGCUACGUCAUUUGAAAAAUCCAUACUAACCUACCCUAUCACUUUUUUUUUUAACUCUUAUAUGUAUAUUUAUAGAACAUAAUUAACAUUUAUAUGAUUAACUAAAUAUAAAUAUAAAUAAAUCUAAAUCUUGUUAAAAUAUUUAAUAAAAAUAUAAAUUUUAAUAAAAGUAUUUGUAUAAUACAAAUUAAAUUUUGUUUGAAUUUGGAAAGAAAAAAUUAUUUAAUUUAAAAAAAAAUAAACUAAACGAGGCAAAAUAAAAAUAAAGGUACCAAAUUAAGACUAAUAUAAUGACACUAUCACACUGUCAUUUUCACAUUUUGACACUGACAAUUUUUUUUUAAUUUAAAAAAUAAAAAAUAAUUAAAGAGAAACUACAAACUAAUACGUGACACCUUUUCACUUCUGUUAAUAUGAUACUAAUAAAAAAACCUGAUUUUAUCAACCUUUUUAAAAUACAAAUCCAAUUGAGACAGAAAUAAAAUUAAAAUACUCAUUUGAAAUAAAUAAUUAAGAACCUCAAACAUAUUUAAUUUAAACAUAAUAGUACAAUUAUAAUUAAAAUGUCUAAAAAUAAAGUAUUUUAUACAAUAUUAAUUUAACUGUCGAGUUAUAUAUAUAUAUAUAUAUAUAUAUAUAUAUAUAUAUAUAUAUAUAUAUAUAUAUUUAAAAGGGUUAUAUUUUAAAAUAAAAUACAGUACGUCAAAGCGUUUCGUGUUGUUAAUAUAUCCGUGCCUGUCACCGUCAUCUUCAAGUGUCAUCCCCACCAUCUCCAAAUUUCUUCAGAUUUUUUAAGGUUAAACCCAGAAGUUACUUUGAGUUUUUUUCGGUUAGAUCCAUCUUAUUAUUUUGCCAAUUUAGUUUUUUUAUCGGUUCAUGCCGUUAAAUUGGUUUCACAGAAUUAAGUUUUUUUAUGAGGUUGUGAUGUUGGUUUGAGAAUUUUUUAAACGUGUCAUUUACAUACUUAUAUACGUGGCAUUUUAUAAAUUAAAAAAUGGAUUUUUUUUGGUGGUUUUUGAAAGGUGACAUGACUGAUUUUAAAAAUUUAGGGAUUUAGGGGUCGUGAGAAAGCGCGAGUCAUCUGCAGUAGAGUCUGCGAGAUCGAUCAAAGAAACGCGCCCUGAUCUCCUCACCUUAGCCACCAUAUCAUUCCUCAGUUGAUCCUAACAACAUGCGCAAUCACUUUAAUAAACGUUUGAUUAAUAUUAAACGUACGAGAGUGAUGAAACCUAAUAUGCAAAAGAAGAAGCAGAGAAAGCGCACAAUGGUUUGAUCUUCACGCAAACUCCGAAUACGUCUCUCUUUCGCCCUUUGGAAGAUCACUGAAAUGUUCUUCGGUUUUGUUGAAGAAAGAAUUCUGAUCAAGGAACAAAUCGCCUUGCAUUUUCCCACUUCCCUCUUUCGAAUCUUGAAAUAUUUUCCAAUCUUCAACAACAAUCAACUUUAAAUCCCUAAAUUUUAAAUCUAAAUUCCUAAAUUUUAAAUAUCAGUGAUGUCAAGUUUUAAAAUCCAUAAAGAAACCUAACUUUUAAAAGGAAAAUGAUAUUUUAACAUCAUUUUUUUACAUUAUUUUGACACUGCACACGUGUCAAAAUGUGAUUGGAUGAUUUUAAAUUAAAAAAGUUAAGGCAGAGGUAUAUUUGGAAAAGAAAAAUCAAAGUUUGUUUUUUUAAUUUAAAAUCGUCCAAUCAUAUUUUGACACGUGUACAGUGUCAAAAUGAUGUCAGAAAUUGGUGUCAAAAUGAUAUUUUCCCUUUUAAAAUGUUUCUUUUAUCAAUAGAAUCUCAAUUUAACAACUGAAAAUGAUAUUUUGACAUCAAUUUUUGACACUAUUUUGACACUACAUAUGUGUCAAAACGUGAUUCGAUGAUUUCAAAUUAAAAAAACUGAGACAAAAGUAUAUUUAGAAGAAAAAAACUAAAGUUUUUUUUUUAUUUGAAAUCGUCCAACCACAUUUUGACACGUGUGCAGUGUCAAAAUGGUAUCAUUUUGUCAAGAAAUUAAAAGUUAAUUUACAACUAAAUUGACAAAACCAAUAAAAUAAGAUUUAACUGAAUAAAAUCCUACGUAAAGAGGACAGAGGUUUAAAUUUUUUUUUUAAAUAGGUUUUGAAAGAAACUAACCAAAUUACUAUUUUUUUUGUUUGCUUUUUAUUAUAAUCUUUUACAAACAUUAAUAUACUUUAUAAAAAACGUAACAAAUUAUUUUAAUGUAUAAAUUUUCUAAUUAUAUACAUAAAAAAAUAUUAUCCAUUAUACUGCAUGGAAAGAGGUUGGCAUGUAAAGAAAAUUGAAAAGCGCCGCUUCAUAUUUGGGUAGGCACCUCAGAAGAACAUAACUUUCCGUAUCCGUAAGGCGUUUGCGAUCUUUCAUGCUGCAAAACUUCUCGUGCUUCCACAUUCCACGUGCCACUGCAUGCCCAACCCCAAACACCACGUGGACAAAUCUACCAACUGAAAGUUUAUUCAAUUUCAUAAAUAAAAUUAUCCAUAUUAAUUACAAAUGGAAUAAUAAUAGUAGUUAAUUUUAUCACAUGGAAGCAAUUGUAUCAGAUAAUUAAUCACGAGGUUAUAAAACAAUUUUUAAAACUGAAUUUAUUUUUUAUAUAUCUUUAUUUCGUUAAAAUAACUACUUACCAACUUAUUUUUAUUCAGUGAUAAUUAAAAAUAAUAUUCUCUAAAUCUAAAACAAAUUACACUCUUCCGUAAAAUUAAAUCAAUAAAUUAUUGUUACUCGACUUUUUAAACUCAAACGGUGUAAAUAUAUAUUGGAAACAAUACUAAAAAUAUAUUCUCUAUUACACUAGCAUAUUUUAUCAUCAAGUGAAAUUAGUGAAUUUAUUAAAAAUAAUACAUGUUAUGCUUUAUUUAAAAUAUUUUAAAAUAAAAAUAUGGAAACAUAUUAAAUUUAAAGCAUAAAUUAUUAAAUGUAAAAAAAAAUUAAAAAAUAUAUCCGUGAACAUUAACAAAGCACCUAAAAAUAUAAUUACAAUAUCCACACAUUAAUUGAAUAAAAUAAAGCCUGUUAAUUUUUUUUUUCUUUCCAUCACCAACAAAAUCACCCAGGCUUUACGAAACCAUAACUCACCGCUUCCCACCUUUCUUCGUUGGCACAUCCCUCUUCUCCUUACAAUGUCCUCGUACGUUUCUGAACUUCAAUUUCUUUUCACUAUUCUUUUCUCUCCUUCUUUUGGCCCUUUACUUUGCUUGCAAGCCUAUUAUAAUGUUCUCUUUCUUGUUUUCCGGAAAACUGUUACAUUUUAACUUCUAUGCAUUCAAAUUUCUAUUACUUUUUUUCCUUUUUUCAUGUUUCAAUCUGUCUGUUUUUGUUUUUCUACAGUGCUUUGUUAAUGGUAAUGUGUUAUUGCUGUAUUACGGGAAAUUAGCUCCACAUUUGGUGAAAUGGUUGCACUAUUUGCUCAGAGAUACUGUAGCAUUGCUGUUCACAUAUAUCAGUAGGCAAAAAGAUUUGAAAGACACUGAUGGGUUCAAAUUUAAGUACCUAUACGACGUGUUAUUGUUUCUAUUGGUGUCACAUAAUCUUGGCCUAGUUAUUGAAGUCAAAUUUUGGAUUAUAGUUAGUUAAUUGGGAAUUUUCAUUCUGACAGACUCUUAUGACGAUAUUAUCAACAAGUGAUUCUUGAUCAGAGGAUUGGAUUGUAAUCGUUUUAUAAUAUUCAUUCGCUGCAAGAGUAGAAGCACGAUAAUCCCUGUAAUCUCCUGAUGCAGUAGUAUAUGGGAUCCAUAUAAUAACAAUUGUUUUAUAUGUGUAGUUAAGCUGAUAAAAACAUAUUUGUAGUUAAAUUGAAAUAAUAGUGGUCGCAUAUAAUCGUAACAAUAUAUGAUUGCAUUUUGACCUCAAAAAUCACAAUAUCUGUAACACAGUUUUAUAUCCCUGCUAGUGUCAGCCGUACGUACUUGCUCAAACUUAUUAUGUUUUGGUUUACACUGCUACCGAUUUAUCAAUAGAUUUCACUUUAUCUGUAAAAACACUUAAUAUUAAAGUGCAGCAAAUGGAAUAUUUUGGAAACAAAAGUAUGUAACUUAAUUAUUAGCAACAUUGUUUAUCAGGAUUCGGCAGCAGGAUGCCACUGAUACAACCACCCUCAGCUAUUGGUUAAAUUGGAGGUUCCUUUUGUGUGUAUUUUCUGUGUUGCUGCCAACGAUCCUUGCAUUUCUUGUAAUAUGGAAGGAUAUACGUUCGAGGAAAUUCGCAUCUGUCGAAGGAGAACAUCAGCGAGAGGGAGCUUUGUCUGGCGAUGAAGCAUGGAAACCAUGCCUUAAAGAAAUUCACCCUGUUUUUUUGCUAGUUUUCCGUAUCAUUGCAUUCUCUUCUCUUUUGGCAUCGCUAGUUGUCAAAUUUUGUGUUAAUGGUGGCUCCAUAUUUUUUUAUUACACUCAGUAAGUAUUCCCUUUCUAUUGCGUAAGUCUUGUAGCACAAGUAUAGUGACGCCUUAAAGCUAUACUAGAAAGCAAAUUCAGCAUUAAGCUUUACAAACGAGUUUGAAGCCAUUUAUGGUUUUUAGUUGUCUUAGUUUUUAUCAGUUUCAUUUCAUUGUUUUCCAUUUCCUUCCCAUUAGCUCCAAACACAUCUGAUGGUGGUUAUUUUGAAUUUCUUGCAGGUGGACCUUCGUUUUGGUUACAAUUUAUUUUGGGGUAAGGCUUGUAAUUUUUCUUAGAGGCCUUCAAUGAAAUCAUUCCUUUUCCAUACGUAUGAAGUCAGUUUACGAUGCUUUAUAUUUUAUAGAUAUAGUACUUAGGCAGAAGCUUUGUCAGAAAGUGUUAUCUAUGAAGUCUGUGGCAUAUUUGUAACUCACAAGAUGAAAUUUCUUUUUGUAGUGUGGAUCUAUGCUAUCAGUUUAUGGGUGUUAUCAGCACAACAGACCAAGGACCACCUUUAAUGUAGAUAUUGCUAGACUAGAUGCAGAGCAAGGGCCAUACAUGCCUCUCUUGCACCAGGAUACCACAAAUCGGUCUAGAAUCGAUCACCUUGCUGAUCCCCGUGAUGAAAUACACAAGAAUCAAAUUACAACCAUAUGGAGUUAUAUUUUUCAAAUUUUAUUCCAGGUAUGAAGAAGAAAUCGACAGGUUUAUAGAGAACCGGAUAGGCAUGUUAGUUGUAUAAUGAAAAUCAAACUCAACCCUUACUUCUUUGCUUUCGUUAUGUUUUUGUUUAUGUUAUUGUGUUUGUGUCUCUCUUUAACAUUUUUAUGCCUUUUCAGUCUUACAUCUUCUAUUUUUUUCUUCACUUUAAUUUUUAUAUUUUGUUCUCUCCUUCAAAUACAUGAUUAUACCAUAGAUUCUAUAUAAUUUGUUAGGUUGGCAAAUGAUGAAGUCCAGCCUAUGUUUGGAAAUCCGUUGGCAAGUAUGUUGAGAGAAGGAAUGCUUUAUUACUUUCAAGUUACAUAUAUAUGGGCAGUCUUGGCAACGUGUUUCCAAACUUGCUCUAAGUCUUGCAGCUUUGGACCUUAUUGCAUGAAAUUCUGAUAACUUUUGCAUCACGUUGUUAAUGAUUUUCAGCUGGAUAUUAUGGGUCUGUUUGGGUAACUUUUUGAACAAUUACUUCCAAGAACUAAAAUAAGAAGAAAAGAUGAAAUCAUUUUACCCAUAAACUGAAAAUUUGAUUUUGAAGAAAAAAUUUAGCUUAUGGAAAAAGUUGUCAUUUUUUUGUUCGUAUUUUCUUUCUCUAUAAGUGCUUAUGAAGAAGUUCAUCUAAACAAACUCAAUUUACUUGCACAAUGUCAAGGAUUUAACUUUAUCCUGGUUGACCACGAUGUUGCAUUAGUAUUCCCCUGAUUUAAUAUGCCUUUUUAAUGCCUUUAAAUAGAUGAAUGCAGGGGCGGUGAUGCUUACAGAUUGUGUUUAUUGGAUCAUUAUAUUUCCAUUCCUUACUCUGAAGGAUUACGAUUUUACCUUUGUGAGUAGAAAACUUCUGGAUAUUCCUAGUUCUUUCUUCUUUCUUGUUCGUGUUAAAAUUGACUGCUUCUUAACUUUCUUUACCUUUAGCUAACCUAAUAGGUUGAUGUGACAUCCACCUAUUAUUAUAAAGGUUUGAGUUUGUGGCACAUUCGUUCUAUGAUUUUUCUAUCCUUUUUUUAAUUUAUAUGCUUUUUCCGUACGUCAAGAAAUUGCUGCAUCAAUUUGUGUCACUUAUUCGUAUCCUAUACUUUUGCAUACUUUACAUAUACUUACAGAUGAAGUAUAUGUUAGAAAAAUUGUUUCUAAUAUUAUUCACAGACCAGCAAUUGCUAUUACAUAAACAUGACAUAAUAAUUGGAAAUCCUAAUUUAUGAUAGAUAUAAUCAAUCCCUAAAAUUCGGUGAUCUUGUACAAUAAAUAUAAAAUAUAUUGACAUCCUAUUAAUCCUCAUAAUUAUCACUAUAAGGAAAUACUAGCUGCAGCAUAGAUCAAGGGAUUUUGACAUUCCUCCACAAGUUGGUGAGUGGAGUAAUCUAUUCUCAACUUGCCAAUAAUAGAUUGAUAUGUGUUAAAUAUAGUAAAAACUAUGUAUGAGAUUAAUCUCCCUUGUGUUAAAUACACACAUAGGGUUUUCUAUUUAUAAUAGAAGAAUUAUGGGCUAAGUCCAAAAUACAAAUAAGAAAUAAUAACAAACUAACUAAAGAUAAAAGAUAAAGAUAAAAUAAAAAUAAUAUAUCUAACAUGUAGCACCAGUGAGCCAUUUUGUUAAUGUGUCUUAAAACACCCUAACUUUUAGAAUCUCAUUUGAAUUGAACUAUGUGGUGGGUAAGUUUUCUAAGUAGGCAUUUUUGUUGUUUGAACAAUGGAAAUAUAGGUCUAGAAGAAAUAUAGUGGAAUAAGAAAGGGUUGUGGUGUUCCAAUAGUGCAAGUUUCACAGGUGAAUACAACGGAAGAAAGAAAGGGGUGUAGUUUUGCAUCAAUGAGGGUUGCCCAAGAGAUUACAAAACUCCUAAGAAUUUUAGAGCUCUUAUACCAUGUUAGAAAAACUGUUUCCAAAUAUAUUCAUAAAGGAGCAAUUGCUCUUAAAUAGAAUACAUGCACAUAUAAUAGCUGACAAUCCUAAUUUAUGAUAUAUAUAUAAUCUAUCCCUACAAUUUAUGAUCAAUCAUCUUCUACAAUAAAUAUACAGUAUACGGUCAACCUAUCAAUUCUCUUAAUUAUGAAAUGUAAUUAAAUCUCUUAUAACUCUAACAUAAUUCAAGGGAUUUUGAGAAUAUCAAAUGUAUGAAACACUAAUACUUUUAUUAUGACAAUAAUUUUAAUUGAGAAUAUCUAAGAAAUGUGAUUUUAAUUUCGAUUCAUACAAUUGCAAUUAUAUAUUUAUUAUGUCCUAAUAAUGUUUGUAUAUUUUUACUCUUGUUUUCAAAAUAAACAUAUUGUCGUAUCAGAUACACAUCGUAUCCAAUACAUGUGCAUCAUAGUUACCAAAUCUUGAAGGAGUUUAUUAAGGAGUGAAGAGUGUACGAGAGGAGAAAGAAGAGUUAAUUUCCUAACUGUUUUAACAGUUAGGAUGGGCAGGUAUAAACAGAACUUUGUUUUGUUGUCAGAGAGUUAGUUUGGAACAUUAGUUGUAUAGACAUGAACUUAGGUCCUGUGGAGGGAGAUUAUGCUCCCAGAAUACUGAUUGUACCAUACAUUUGUUGAUGUGAAUACAAACAUUCUUUCUUUUACAAUUGUUUUGCUUGCUUUGAGUGUGUGAGUGAGUUGUCUAAGUUAGGUUUCAAACCCAGAAACCUAACAAAUUGGUCCGACCUAUCGGAUCUGUUUUGAGGAGCCAAAGGCGGGAUGGAGGGAAGAAUUGAUGUAAGAUUGAACGUGGUGGAGGGUCAACUUGAAGCAAUGGAAAUCGCAGUAGAUGGGAUGAAGGCGGAGACAGUGGUGUUGCGACAAGACUCUGCAGCAAUGCGCCAAGAUUUGCAAGAAAUUAUGAGAAUUUUGGGUGGGCGAGCCCGCAACCAGGAGGGCUAGUCGGACGGAAGCCAAGCCUCUGCCAACGAGGACAGGAGGAGGCGAGAGGAAGACUUUGGUAAGAGAGAGGGUGAACGCCAGAGGGACAACCCAAGUGGAGAAAAAGGGUGGAGAGGAGGAAAAUAUGCACCUAGCCUACAUCAGCAUGGAGGGUAGCACUGGAUUCUGAUUCAGAUUUUGGAAGGAGAAAGCCACGAACCGUUUUUGGGAACGGCUAAAGGGGGCGAUAGUGGUCCGAUUCGGAGGAAGGAACAUAGGCACCAACUUUGAAAGGUUGGCGACCAGUAAGGAGUUGGGAACCGUGGAGGAAUACAUCCAAGAUUUUGAAAUCUUGGUGGGUCAGAUGAAAAGAGUGUCUGAGGAACAACUAUUGGGGUAUUUUCUUGCCGGGCUACAGGAGGGCAUUUGCAAUCAAGUGCGAUCGCAUAACCUGCAGGAGUUGAUGACCGCCAUGAGGAUAGCGAGGGACGUGGAGGAUUUCCAAGGUGUCGCGAAGACUGGAGGCGGGAGUAUGAUCAAGAAUCAGUCCUCUUACAGGCGAACAACAGGGGCAGUGAUGCGAUUGGAGCCCAGUCGUUAGAACCAGAGUCGAGUAGGAUUCGCUAAGAGUGUUGGGUCAGUGCGGAAGGAGGGAACCCUACGGCAAAGUCGGGUUUAGAUAGCAGGGGAGAAACACGAGGAAUCUGCCUUAUUCAGAAUUCCUGAAGCGAAGAGAGGAGGGGCAAUGCUUCGAGUGUGGGGGGCCAUUCAGCCCAGGCCACCACUGCCCAGAAAGAAGUCUGCGGAUGGUUAUUUUAGUAGAGGAUGAGGAGGAGGAAAUGGAAGGAGUUGAGACCGAAUUAGACCAGAAGCCGAUGGAGUUGUCUACCUUCUUGGCUAGAGGCCUCACUCAGCCAAGAACGAUGAAAUUGCAUGGGCAGAUAGGAGGUAGGAUGGUGUUGAUCUUGAUCGAUAGUGGCGCUAACCACAAUUUCAUAGGCAAGGGUUUGGUAAAAGAGCUGGGUUUGCCCAUAGUAGACACUCCACCUUAUCAGGUGAGCUUGGGUGAUGGGCAGAGGAAGAAGACAAGAGGUCUCUUGAAAAGAUCAUGAUACGCAUAGGGAAAUGGAGAUCGUAGAGAGGUUCCACCUUUUUGAAUUGGGGGAAGUUGAUGUAAUACUUGGAGUGGAGUGGCUUGCCAAACUGGGGAAGUGACCUUGAAUUGGGGGGAACUGACCAUAGUGUUCAGUCAAAAGGGGAAGAAGGUGACCAUAAAAGGGGACCCCACAUUAAGUAGAAGAUUGGCAGAACCAGGGGCCUUGUUAAAAACGAAGGAAGUCGAGGCGUGGGUGUUAGUUUGGGAUCUGGGAAGGAUACGAAGGAGUGGGGAAGUUCAAUAAACUAGUGGAACAAUAGACUAAUGAACAACAAAUUUUGUUAGGAUAGGCUCUAACUCAUGGAUCUGAUACCAUGUUAAGAAGUGAAUUUUAAGCCUAACUUAACCCCACAAAAUCGACUUGUAAGGUGAAGUUUGCAUCUACUUACAUACUUUAAAUUAGCCUUAUCUCUAGUCAAUGUAAGACUUCCAGCACACCCUCCUCACGUCUAGGUAUAUACAUUUUGAGCAUGGGAUUAUAGACAUUAAUGAGUGGUCUGAUAGUAGUCCAAUAGCAAGUGGAACAAUAUGCCCAACAAAUACAAAUCUCGUUAGGAUAGGCUCUAACUCAUGACUCUGAUAUCAUGUUAAGAAAUGAACUUUGUUAAGUCUAAUCUAAUUCAACCUUACAAAACCGGCUUGUAAGGUGAGAUUUGUAACCACUUAUGAAAUCGCCUUAUCUCUAGUCGAUGCAAGACUUCCGAUAGGUUUACUUAGUUGAACUUGACUAGUUGGUUAAGAAUUGAACAUAGUAUGUGCUAUUAAACCAACCAGUAUAGAAAUAUUAGAAUGAAUAAUCUUCCCCGCUUAAUCUAUCAUAUUCUAUGUUAUGUAUGUUAAGCUAACUUAAAGAAAGCAGAGUCUUUAAAGCUCAGUAUGUGAAAAUUCUCUUAUGAGAAACUACAAAAAAUGUUAAAACACAAUCAACACUCCCUUAUGUUUUUCACGAUAAUAACCACAUAGAAAGUAGACUUUUACAAAAUUAAUAAAGCAAGAUAUUAUGCCAUAUCAUUGAUUACGAUAAGAAUUCUUUUUUCCUCUUCUUGUCUCCUAAUGAUAUAAUCUGAUCAGUUCUGCAUCUUAUGUAGAUGACAGUGAACAUGCAUACACUAAAUGCUUUUUUUCUCCUUGGAGACGCAGCUCUUAAUUGUCUGGUGAAUAUUUUAAUAAUUUUUGAGAUUCUUAUUUGGGGUAACUGCAGGAGGUUUUGAAUUAAUUUAAUGAAUGUUUCAGCCAGUACACUGGUCCGGAAUGUCUUUCUUCGUGUUAUGGACAAGUUUAUAUGUCAUUUUCCAGUGGACUUUUCAUGCCUUUUCCUGGAUUUGGUAAGCUACACAAUGCUUUGGAUGUCAAACUUUCCACUCGCACUGGUUUUACUAACAAUAUGAUAAUUAUGAUUACUACAGGUGGCCAUACCCGUUCCUUACUUUGUCAUCACCCUAUUCUCCGUUGUGGUAUGCCAUUUUUCUCUACAAUAGUCAUUUGGAUAAUUUCAAAUCAAUUGACAAGGUAGAAAACUUAUUUGAAAUUUUUCGGGCAAAACUUGUGGAUUUGUGGGAACAGCGUAUUGCCUUUUAAUGUAAGAUUUUAUUAUUGAGUUUUUUUUUUUUUUUUUUUCAGUAAAAUGUACUUUAGAAUUGUAAAAGGACAGUUUGGAUACAAUGAAGUUUGUAGUCAUCGCCUUUGCGGGCAAUUGAUGUGAACCCUAAUAGAAUAAGGUAUAUGUUACGAGGCAAAAAGGGCAAUGCGCAGAAUCAAAAUCAGGAGAGAGAAAUGCUUGACUAACUGCCUACCUGAGAAAAGUGGGGUGAGGUAUGCACAAGUUGUUUGGAGACAGAGAUGGUUGAGGUGAGAGAAGGUUGUCUGGGUCCAUUCUUGAGUCUUAGAACAAGAAGGACGAUCGUUGAUUAUGAGGAAGAAGUUUGAGUUGUUAAUAGUUCCAUUGAAGAAGGAAAAGCUAAUAGUGCUGGAGAGCAUAUUCAUUAAUCGCUUGAAGGAAGAAAUUCAAGUAGAGCUGAAGUUGUAUAAUCCGAGAUCACCAUGGAAUCUCAUUGUCAAGGCCUUGUUGGAAGAAAGAAAUUGAACUAUUUAGAAAAAGGGAACAACAUCGAUGAGAAAAAUCGAUCGGGAAGAUCAUAAAAUGGGGUUGACACCAAAAGUAAUUUGUGGCACAUGGGGGAUCAUGAAUUUUUUGCCGGUUUUGGCUGUCUAGGAUUUCUCCAGGCCAUUUACGUCUGAAAAUGACGCAAUCAAGGAGGAAGACCAGUUUCUUAUUUCAGCCAACAGUAUCUCCAAGGGUCCAACAAAAUCUGUUCAUGAAAAAGAGAGUUGAUGACAAUUGUAAUGGUAGUGUAGAAAUGGAGACAUUGUCUUCUUGAUCAGCAUUUUACCAUGAAAGCAGAUUAAAGGAACUUGAAACUUCUGACAGAUCAAAACGGUUAUGAAGGAGGAUCAAUUUAAAUGGACUUCCACAUUGCUCGGUUUUGACUUUGAAGUGGAGUACGAUCUGGGAAGUUCAAAUAGUGAAACUAAGGCUCUAUGCAGGUAGAUCAUGCAUGCAGGUUUAAAUGUGGCUGAAUGGGAGUUGGGUGGAAAUUGAAGGAGAUAAAGUAACGAAACAGAUUAUAUUACAAGUCAUGCUGUGGCCACAACCCGUUACAUAUUUUUCCUUGAAAGAGGAUGGUUAUCCACAAGGAUAGAUUGGUGUUGCCCAAGUAGUUUUCCAAGCUUCCUACCAUUUCAUCAGAGUUUCAUUCAUCCCCCCAGGGAGGUCAUUUGUGUUUUUCCACAAGGACAUUUCAUUUGUUUUUAACUGGGAAGGUAUGGAAGCUGACCUCAAGCACUUUAUAGGUAAGUAUGAUACUUGCCGACAAAACAAAUAUGAGACAUUGUCCCAUGCAAGAUUUUUACAUCCUUAGCCUAUUCCUUUACACUUAUUGUUAGGGCUUAGAGAGUGUAUGAAAGGACACGGGUAAGGCAGAAUAAUAACUAAUUGUUCAAAAGUUAGUUGGGAGCGGGAGCGGGAACAAGACCUAUAUAAGGACCCUUUGUUUUAGAAGGUAGGGGAGAGACUUGGAUGUAAUUGUUGACCAGUUUAGUUACCUGGUGAGGGAGGUUAAGCUCUCAGAAUAGUUUGUAUUCUUGAUUCUUGAUUGUGAAUACCAUUCGAAUAUUCAUUCUACUCUGAUGUGUAGUUGCUUGAGUGUGUGAGAGUGUGAGAUCUUGGGAAUUCUUACCCGAAUACCUAACAAAGUGGUUCGACCUGUCGGAUCCAAUUGAAAGGAGAAGAGAGCAAUGGAGAGCAGACUCGAUGGAAGACCGAGUGUGGUGGAGAACAAGCUGCAUGGAGAUAGCGGUCGACGAAAUAAAGGCUGCAAACGUAGCACUGUGCCAAGAUACGAUGGCGAUACGACAAGACUUGCAGGAAUUCAUGCGGAUUUUGGGAGGAAGGGUGCAUGACCAGGAGGGGAUAUUUGAUGGUAGUCAAGCGUCUGUAAACGCCAAUCGGAGGACGAGGCGGGAAGACGAGAUUGGAGGAAGAGACGAAGAGCGCGGCGAAAGUCACGACGGGUGGCGAAAGAGGGUAGAACUACCCACUUUUGAAGGGUUUGAUUCGUUGGGGUGGGUCUCUAAGGUAGAGAAGUUAUUCGAAUUGCAAGGUGUGGUAGAGGAGGAAAGGGUGCGCCUAGCGAAAUUCGGUAUGGAGGGCAGCGCUGACUACUGGUUCAAAGCUUGGAAGGAGAAAGCCAAGAAUCGUUCUUGGGAAGGCCCGAAGGGGGCAGUAGUGGUGCGAUUUGGAGAAUGUAACAUGGGCACCACUUUUGAAAGGGUGGCGACCAAUAAAGAAUACGUCCCAGCAUCGAACGUGGGAGAACUGCCAGAACCAAGCNGGAAAGGACUGCGCGAACCGAACGUAACAGGUUUGCCGGAACCGAACGGGCUAGGACAACAUGAUGGGAACCCGAGAGAACUUCAGAAACCAAAUGGUCGGGGACUGCUAGAGUUGAACGGAGAGGACGUCAGGAAGCGAACGUGAGCCGGACCCGAACGGAAGAGGACAGAAGGAACCGAACGGUCAAGGAGAGAUGGAUCAGUGGGAGAGAAGCGUAUUUGGGGGCCGAACGCGUGGUACGAUUGUCGAGCGGUUCGAGACAGAAUUAGACUGGAAGCAGACGAAGUUGUCCAGUCUCGCGGCUGGAGGUUCUAUUCUGUCAAAAGCGAUGAAGUCGAUAGGGGACCAAACGGUUUUCACCAUUGUAGGACGAAACAGAAUGGUCUUAAUCAUCAUAGGACGAAACCAAUUGGUAUCGACUAUUAUAGAUCAAAACCGAAUGGUAUUGGGGGUGAUAGGAAGGAAAGCAGAAGAAUGGAAGACAGUGGAGGAGGAGUUGCCACCACCUAAACCUCCAGACCUGAUUUGGAGGGUGCCACCUAAGAAGAGGAGCAUUACAUCCAAUAACAAUUUCCUUACUUCAACCUUAGAAACAAGGUUGAUUCUCAAGGGGGGAGUAAUGUUAAGGCUUAAAGAGUUUAUGAAAGGACACAGGUAAGGAAGAAUAAUAACUAAUUGUUCAACAGUUAGUUGGGAGCGGGAACAGGGCCUAUAUAAGGACCCUUUGUUUCAGAAGGCAGGGGAGAGACUUUGAUGUAAUUGUUGACCGGUUUAGUUACUUGGUGAGGGAGGUUAAGCUCCUGGAAUAGCCUGUAUUCUUGAUUCUUGAUUGUGAAUAUCAUUCGAAUAUUCACAUUACUCUGCUGUGUGGUUGCUUGAGUGUGUGAGAGUGUGAGAUCGUUAGGAAUUCUUACCCGAAUCCCUAACAAAGUGGUCCGACCUGCCGGAUCCAAUAGAAAGGAGAAGAGAGCAAUGGAGGGCAGACUCGAUGGAAGACUGAGUGUGGUGGAGAACAAGCUGGAAGCCAUGGAUAUAGCGGUCGACGAAAUAAAGCCUGAAAACGUAGCAUUGCGCCAAAAUACGAUGGCGAUACGGCAAGACUUGCAGGAAGUCAUGCGGAUUUUGGGAGGAAGGGCGCGUGACCAGGAGGGGAUAUUUGACGGUAGUCAAGCGUCUGUAAACGCCAAUCGGAGGGCGAGGUGGGAAGAUGAGAUCGGAGGAAGAGGCGAAGAGCGCGGCGAAAGUCACGACGGGUGGCGAAAGAGGGUAGAACUACCCACUUUUGAAGGGUUUGAUCCGUUGGGGUGGGUCUCUAAGGCAGAGAAGUUAUUCCAAUUGCAAGGUGUGGCAGAGGAGGAAAGGGUGUGCCUAUCGGAAUUCGGUAUGGAGGGCAGCGUUGACUACUAGUUCAAAGCUUGGAAGGAGAAAGCCAAGAAUCGUUCUUGGGAAGGCCUGAAGGGGGCAGUGGUGGUGCGAUUUGGAGAAUGUAACAUGGGCACCACUUUUGAAAGGGUGGCGACCAAUAAAGAAUACGUCCCAGCAUCGAACGUGGGAGAACUGCCAGAACCAAGCNGGAAAGGACUGCGCGAACCGAACGUAACAGGUUUGCCAGAACCGAACGGGCUAGGACAACAUGAUGGGAACCCGAGAGAACUUCAGAAACCAAACGGUCGGGGACUGCUAGAGUUGAACGGAGAGGACGUCAGGAAGUGAACGUGAGUCGGACCCGAAUGGAAGAGGACAAAAGGAACUGAACGGUCAAGGAGAGAUGGAUCAGUGGGAGAGAAGCGUAUUUGGGGCGGAACGCGUGGUACGGUUGCCGAGCGGUUCGAGACAGAAUUAGACUGGAAGCAGACGAAGUUGUCCACUCUCUCCAUAAGGAUGACUCCUUAUGGAGAGAAUUUAGUUUCUCCAUAAGGAUGACUCCUUUGAAGUCAUUAUAAGGAGAAGGAAUCUCCCAUCAUUAAGGGCCUACUUUUCCACCACAGUUGAAGCAGUAAAUUCCAUGAUUGCAAGCAGAGAUAUUUUCCUUAAUCAGCUGAAAAAAAAAAAAAAGAAACUGAAUGUGGUGCAACAAAGGAUGUAUAAGCAAGUCGAUAAGCAUAGGAGGGAUGUCUAGCUAGAGCAAAGAUAUUAGAUUUGUCUCAAGGCUGCCCCUUACACGAAAUUUGUAUAAUAACUAUGUUAAAACUGAUAAAAAGUGAAAAAGGCUGUCUCUUAUAUAUGGAAGACUUUGGCUGAGAGGAGGAAUGAGAAAUUGAUUUCAAAAUUUUACGGUCCAUUUCAGGUGUCAAAGAGUAGGUCCAGUUGCAUAUUAACUCCCUUUACCUUUUGAAUGAAAGAUCCAUCCAAUGUUCCAUGUUUGCAAGUCAAAGAAAGCAAUUCUAGGUGAGUAUCAACUGCAACAAAUUCUAGUGUUUUACUGAAGAUUGGGAAAUUCAACCUCAAUUGCAAGAUAUCCUGGAGUUGCAUUACAAUAGGCAGGUGCAUGAAGAAGUUCUAGUGAAGUGGGUUCAGCCUCCUGAUUGUGACAAUGCAUGGGAAACAAUUGAAGACCUUCAACUUCGUUUUCUAGAUUUGUACCUUCAGAACAAGGUUAAAGUUUUACGGGUGAGUAUUGAUAGUAGAAAAGUAGUUAAGAAUGAAAGUGUAUGUAAGGACUAAUGGAGGGGAAACACAACUGUUACUUAAUAGCUUAUAAAUAGGAGGAUAAAGGGUGGUAGUUGCAGUUAAGAUUUGAUUCAUAAGUUGUAAGGAGGAGUGGUCUCUCCAAUACCUCAUUGUGCCUAGGUCACAUUGACCAUUAGACAUUUGAUAAAAGUACAGGUGCAUUGUCUUGCUCUUGCUUCCAAAAUCUUCCAAUCAAUCAGUUGAAUCCCAUCAGCUAGCCAAGGGAAUAUUGAGGUAAACUUCAAAAGCUUUACUAUCAAGUGGGAACAAGCUGAACAGAAUAAAAGACAUGGUUCAUUGUCGGGAAAUCGAACACAAAACUAAUGUCAGAUGUUUUACAGGAACAAAACCAAAACAAUUGUGGUUUAAGUGGUUGAGUUGGGUAGCAUACUGGUAUAACACCAAUUAUCAUUCAGCCACUAAAAUGAUUUCUUUGGAGGCAUUGUAUGUGAGUCACCCACAACACUAGUUAAAAGAGAUGUCAGUCAACAAUGUAUGAAGAUUAGUAAUUAGAAUGACAGUUGAGAUGGCAUAUUGGAAGAGUUGAAACACCAACUUCUAAAGGCUCAAAAUGGGAUGAAACAAUUGGUUGAUAAGCAUAUGCGGGAAAUUGAAAGAGGUUAUAGGGAUGUGUUAUUCUUGAAGAUACAGCAAUAUAAGUUGAGUCCAUGCUACUAUGCACUACGAAAUAUCAGAUGAAACUGGUUUUGUUGCUUAUUGGUUGAAAUUGCUUGAAGGAACAAAAGUGCAUCCAGUAUUCCAUGUCUAGCUGCUCAACAAACUAGUGACUGCAGAAUUAUGAGUCAGCCGCUCCGUAAAUGUGUUGCAAGGAUUCGAGUGCAGGUCCAACUAGAGGUGGAUUUGGCUAUCAGAAAAAUGUAAACCGGAGAAGUAGAAGUGAUGAUUAAGUGGAAGGAUUUACCGGACUUCGAAAAUUCGUGGGAGGACCUAGCUACCAUUUAGGAGUAAUUUCUUAGUUUCCACCUCGAGGACAGGGUGUGUGUUAGGAGGCGCAAGAAGGGCGAUGCCCAACAAUCAGAAUUAGGAGAGAGAAAUGCCAAAUUAGUUUCCUACAGGCAGUAGGAUUAGGGUGUGCACAUGUUCUUUGGAGAGAGAGGGGAAUGUAAGUAGAAGGUUGAGAUGAGAGAAGGUAGGAAUUAGUUCAGGCUUGGAAUAGAAUUGGGCAUUCUCCGAUUUGUUCUUAUUGUAAGUUCUCAUUCCGAGAUUUAAAUCACUUCGGUUCAGACACGAGAUUCCAUUACUAUAAUACAAUUGGAACUGCUUAUAAUAUUAUAAUUUCGUGGUUCUUAUUAGCAACACAUAGCAUCAGUACCAUGACAUUCAUACAGGAUUAUUUCUGGGUCAUUUUAUUUCCUCCUUCUCCUUGAAUGUCUAAUCCAAUGUGUUUUUCAUGAUCUGUAGGUACUUGUUGAUUGCAUUGCUACAUAUUCCAUGUUAUGCCAUGUUUAAGCUGAUUGUAGAAAUCAAACAUUAUUUCUUGUCGAAAUGGUUCCCUUCCUCCACUCAGUUCUAAAGAUUGAGUGGGGUAUCAGACUUGGGCCCCUGAAGAGCCAGAAAUGGCUUAGCCUGCACCGACUACAUUUAGCUCUCCUAGCUUCACUGUGGAUGGUUGAGGUUUGUUACUUGCUUAUGGCUCAAACAAAUUAGUGAUAGUUAGCCAACAUAGUAAAGUGAAACUUCCAAAACCGAGUUUCUGCUACCAUACAACUGCUUUCCAGAGCAAAGUAGAAGCAGGAUUUAUGUAGGAACAAAUAGAGUAAGGAGCCAUUAAUUUUAUGGUACAAUUGUUCUAUUCCUCAAUAGUUGGAGCUAGGAAUCAUGUUUACUAUGUGACUAUCAAUGUACCACUCAUAGACUCAUGGUCUUACGUGUAGAUUUGUAUUCAAUAUCACAAUAGUCCGGGAAAUGGUAUAUUCCCAUUUUUGCUAAAGUAACUUUAGAACAUCGUUUGUAUUGUUUAUUGGCUUAAUUACUCCUUUAAUAUUUGUAGUUAUAUUUAUUUUAGGUUCUGAUUUCUAUACAAUAAAAAAAAAAUCAUUUGACUCCCUACAAACUCCAUAUUUAUCUCAUUUAAUCCUCAUCACACUUUCUUCAAUUCUUUUUAGUUUCUACUGUCUCUUAAGUAUAGGGAUAUAGGAUAUUAAUCGAGCAGUUUUACUCUUUUUUCCAAACUUGGGAGAUUUGAUAUAGUUGAACUGAAAAUACGUUAGCUAGUAUUAAAAUAAAAUUGUUAUGUGUAGCAUAUUAAGAUUGUUUAUUGAUAGAUAUUUAAAUGCAUAACAUGAUAAAAAGUGUGUUCACUUAAAACUUUCUAAACUCAUCACAUGAAAAUAUAUAUAUAUAUAUAUAUAUAUAUAUAUAUAUAUAUAUAUAUAUAUAUAUAUGCUCACGCACACACAGCUGUACGUACAAAUCUUUUAUGUUGGUUCAUUCACUCACAAUGGCUAUGGUUUGUACUUUUUAUCAUGCAAAUAUUCUUUAUUAAAAGAGAGGAGAAAAUUCCAAUUUUUUUAUAUUGUUUCAUUCAUAGUAAUAUUAGUAUGUUUCUACAACUAAAGAUUUUUCUACAAAUAUUCUUUAUAUCAGAAACAAACAAUGGGUUAGAAUUCUAUUUCAAAGAGUUUGACAAUUUCUACAAAGAAGAAGACAUUGUGAGACAUUACAGUAUAUGUUGUCUCACUUCACGCUUGAUGAAAGGUAUUAGGUUGAAGUUGUUAGUACAUGCUUUUUGGUCAAUGAAUUGGAAACUUCUAUUAAGAUAUUAUUGGAUAACUUAGUAGAUUACUCAAUAUUAAAGGAGUUUGGUUGUCCAAUAUACUCUUAUUCAGAUGAUAAGCUAGAACCAAGAGUCAGGACUGAGUUCUUGUAUGUUAUGAAGUAGGAACGUAAGGGUUCCAAAUUUAAUCAUAAGCUUUUUGUAUAAAAUUUCUUUACUAAAAUAUAAAGGAAGUUCAAGUAAGUUUGGAGGGUUGACAUUGAAGCUGGAGAUAGAUGACGCUGAAGCAACCAUCUAAAGCAUCGUCUCGUUUGAGUGAUAGGAAUCUUUAAGGCUUAUUACAAAUUUCUUGUGAAGUCUCAGCCUUGGAGCAAACUGUCUUGUACUCAAUCUUCUUCGAUCCUAGCAUAUCAUCAAUGUAGUUUCUAUCAUACAGAACUUUCUCAAUUGUCCCAAUUCCCUUGUACUUGUUGUUAGCCCAUCCGUCGUUAGUUGUGGUUUUUCUGUAUUGAGCACUGGAUGGCAUCAAUGGUUGAAUCUUGGUUCACAUUGAUUUCUUAACCCAACAUCCAACAUCAGAUAUCUCUUUCUUGAUUAUCAUAACAUCCCUCUACAACAUUUUAAGUAAUUCUAGAUAGAUAAUCUUGGGGGCCAAGAAAAAACUUUUAUUGCCAAACACUUCUAUAGUAUUUCAAAUGUGUUGAGGUCUCUUUUAUCCAACUCUUCAACACAAAUAUACAGUUUUAUGUUGAUAUGAAUUCUUUCUUACUCAGUUUAGUUGAGAAUUUAUGAGUACAUUUUCAAUCAUAUUUACAACUUUUAAUCUUAACUUUCUUGUAAUUGAGUUUAAAUGUCAUUUUAAUUAAAAUUUGUCCAAUUGGAGUUAACUAUGUUUCAACUAAAAUUAUUGAUUAAAAUAAGUUUUGAAGUCUUGAUUGACCCUAAAUGAUCUAGAAUGAUAACCUUAGUUAGACGAUUUAGGUUGUUGAACUUCACAAGAUGAUACGAUGGAUCAUCUAUGAGCUUACUUUUGAUGAUACAUGACUUGUAUGUUUUAAUGUAUAAGAUUUUUUUGAACUUUUAGUAUGACUUUUGUACAAUUGAUGUAUAAAUAAGUUCAUACAUUGUUUAUAGUUGAUACAAUGAUUGAUGGUCUAAUGGAUUUAUGGACUAUGCUAGCAGUUGAUUUGGUAAUUAUUGGUAAUUAUUUCAGUGCAUGCGAAUAAGGAAAUAAAGUGUUUUAUAUAUUAAAAAGUUAAGUUGAUUCAUGACAUGUUCAGUAGAUUAGAUUGUCUUAUGUGUGAACCACUAGGUCGUGUAAUGUUUCCUUAUUUGAUGAGUGUGCCACUAGACCAUAUGAUGUGUGUACUAUUGGACUAUCCCAUUGUUAGCAUAAAGCUAAAGAGAAGAAGUUUUGAUGAUGUCUCAAAGUCAAGUCUUAAAUACUCUUGUAAUAAGAUUUUCAUGAAAACUUGUUUUGUGUUUAAGCUUUUUCAAUUUAGAAGAUUUAGGUAGAGGAUUCAGUUUAUCUUUGAUUCUAUGUAUUUUUUGCCUUAGAUUGCACUAAAACUCGUAUUGAACCAGAAAACCUCAUUUUAUACUCAAGAUAGUCGAUUAUCAACUUAUAAUCAUCGAUUAUCAACUUAUAAUAAUAGAUUAUCAGUAAUCAAUUAUGACUUUCCAUAAUCAAUUAUUCUGAGCAAUUGUGAAAGUUUUUAAGUAAGUUUUUUACCGUUAUGCAUUUAUUAAAUGUAUAAUCAAUUACAAUAAGUGGAUAAUUGAUUAUCACAUGUGAAAUAGUUGACAAUAGAUUUUGGAGUUAUCUUGAGUGAGAUCUCUAUAAAUUGAAUUGAGACUCUCGUUCUAACAUACGAAAUACUUUGUAUUCAAAAUUCUUAUAUGUUGUGUGUUGUGAUAAGUGUGUUCUAGGGUUUGUGUAACCUUGUACUUGUGGCUUUAACUUGGUGUGGAUAGUGAAGCGUUAAUUCUCAUUUGAGAUUAACAACUGGAUGUAGGAUUUGUAUGAUCUGAAUCAGUAUAAAAAUCACAUGUGCAAUUUUCUCUCUUCCUUCCUCUCUAAUCUGUUUAAAUUAUUGUUAAGAAAUUUAUAUUUUACGAUAAAAUUAUUAAAGGUAUUAUUUGCGACAAGAAACCAAUUCACCCCCUCUUGGUUUGUUGUACACACUAACCAUUCCGCUGCAUCAUUCUGACACCCAUGUGUGGACCACUAAAUGUCUUAUAUGUACACUAUAGAUCAUUUGAUUAUGUAAAGUUCCAUUGGACCACUAUUGAACCUUUCGUGAUAAGAAUUGUUACUUUCGAAUAAAUUAGUUGCUCAAGAUUGCACUUUUGAAAUAGAUUCAUUAUCGAGAGAAAACUGGAAAUAAAGAAUGUCACAAACAAACAACACAUUCAUCACUCUAACUCUCAUCAUACCAUGUUCUAUACCAUUUAUCACCGCUUUUAUAUUUUUUUAUUUUUUUAUUGUUUUCGCAUGGAGAAUUAAGCCUUUGUAAGAUGAUUUUCUUGUGAUUUCAUAAUGAGUUCUAAGAUUUUAUGCAAUUCAAUUAUUUGUUGAUAAUUCGAUUAUUUUCUUUCAAUGAAAUUCAUAUUAGUAUGUUUAAUUUUAACAGUCUUUUGGCUUAUUCAAAUGGUAAAAAAAUAAAAAACAUUUCACACACACACAAGUGUUCUAAAGAAAUCUAACAUAUUGUAUACAAUGCUUUAUCGAUGAUUUCUCUUAGAAAUGAAAUGUUUAAUUUGUUUUAAAGAAUGAUUCAUUAGUCGCCAAUGAAUACAUAUCUCAAGCAUAUCAAACACAAACACAAUAAGGAUAAAGCAAUUGUUAUGUCAUUUGUUGUGUAAGAAAUCAUAAAACCAUUUUCUUGUUCAUCAUAAAAAGCAUAGGUAUAUAGGGUAGAUAUGACUCCCCCUAUCAGCAUGUGAAUCAUGCGAAUGAUGUGCAUAUAUAUGCUUAUAAAAAAUCAUGCAAAUCAUGUAUAUUCUUUUUAUGAAUAUCAUAUAUUUUCUUAUGUUGGUUAUUCUUGUUUGCUGUAAUACUUAAAUGAUUUGUUGUAAUAAUCAUUUGAUAUGUUGUCAUAUAUAGUUAUUUUUUAUAUAUUCUAAUAUAUUGAAUUUUUUUGUAUGCUUUGAUACUUAUAUAUUUAUUUCAUUGCUUUGGUAUUUCACUCACUCUAAUACAUGAUUUAUGGGAAGUCAUCUAUCAUUCAUACAUUCUCUUAUUGAAUACAUAUCAUAUGCUCUAAUAUAUCAUUUGCAUAAACGAUUGGUAUAUAGAAUUCGCUCCGAUAAAAAUUGAAUAUUUAUCAUGUACUCUGAUAUAAACGAUUAGAUAAAUGCUUUGAUAUUAGCUUUAAUCAUUCCAAUGGUCCUUGUUUUUGGGUCGAAGUCGCAAAUCAGUCCCUCAAUUUUUUUUAUCUCAACUUGGUCUUUAUUUUUGAAAAUUUGAUACAAUAAGGUUCUUUUCGUUAAUACAAUACUAACACAGUUAAAAAGGUGUCACAUGUUGGUUCAUGUUUUUUUUUAAAUAAUAAUACUUUUAUUUUAUUAAUAAAAAAAUUUACUUGUCAAACUGACAUUGUGCCACAUGACAAUGAUUGUGUGACGUGAUAGUGCCACUUAUCACUAUCAUGUAACGUGUUAUUGCACUAGUCUUAAUUGGAUCUUGAUAUUUUUAUUGUCUCAAUUGAAUUUUUUUUUUAAUUUUUCAAUUUUGUCUCUCUUCAAAUUAAAACAAACUUAAUUUGGAUAUGAAUUUUAUACAAAUAUUUUUAUUAAAUAUUUUUAGUAAAAUUAAGUUUAUUUAUAUUUUAUAUUGAAUAUAAAUAUUAAUUAUGUUAUUUAAAUAUACCUAUAAGAGUUUAAAAAUAUGUAUGGUGAAAGUAAAUUGAAAUAAAAUGUGAAAGAGUGUGAGAGAGCAUGAAAGAAGAGGAAGCAACAAAAACAACCUUUAAUUAGGGUUUCCAUAAAAUUUUCUCUAACUUUUUAUGACACGUGACAUGAUAAUGACACAUACCACUAUCGUGUCACAUGUCACAAUAUCAUCAUUGCCACAUGCCACAAUAUCAGUUUGAUACAUGACAAAUUUUUAUUUAUUUAUAAAAAUAUAUAAAUAAAAUAAAAUAAAAACAUUUUAAAAAAUAAGAAAAACGAUAAACUGACACAUGACACUCUCUUUAACGUGUUAACAUUGUGCUAAAGAAAAUGACCUAAUUGCAAGAGAUUUUCAAAAAUAGAAAUCCAAUUGAAAUAAAAAAAGAAAUUAAGGGAUCAAUUUGUGACUUCCAUCCAAAAAUAGGAACCACUAGAAUGAUUAAACCUUGAUAUUAUAAAUAUAUACAAGACUAAAUAAACGAAUGACGAGAUAAAGUUGCUCUAAUCAAUUAUUUCUUUGAUGCUUAUUUUGUGUUAGCAUAAGCAUUUGUUAAACAUAAAAAAGAAAGAGAUUGUUAAGACAAGAUCAUCUAGGAACCCUUUAUUUUGAAGUUUAACAAAAGCGUGUAACGAAAUAGUGUCUAUAUAAUCGAUCGUCUAGGAUAACGAGCUAAAUGUUAUAUAUGAUUAAACAAUAUCUUGAACGUAAUGUUUAUCCUAAACGCUAAAGAGAAUAAUAUAGCAUAAAAUUACUCUAAACACAAUGAUUUGAUAAAUAGACUAACAUAAACGUUAUAGUAUAGAGACUAUGCUAAGCAAUAUAAUGAACGUCUAACAUUUUAAAUCCAAAUGUACUAAUAGUACUUUUUUGUUUUUUGUGGUGUUUCUCUUUAUCUGUCUAGAUACAAAAAGGAAAAAUGCUUUAUUCAAAUGUUUUGCGUUAAUUAAGAAGAAUGUUUAGAGAUAUAAGGACAUUUUGAGAAUGUUUAGAGAUAUAUAGUCAAUGUCUCUAACUAACAAAUCUUUUUUUAUGUUACCUAUAUAUAGAAGAUUGCAUGGAGAAUAAACAAGAAUCAUUUUCUACAUAUACUCUUACGUUGUCAUUCUCUUGCAUCGUCUAGCUCCUUGAAAAAGAAAACUUUUGUAACAAGUUUCCCAAAUAUAUUUUAUAUUGAUUUAAAUCAUUUUCAAGAAAGCUUUUCAAUUUAUAGUUGCUUUUAGAAAGCAUUUUGUUGUUUUUGGAUAAUAAAAAAUGAUUUUAAACACUUAGUUAUUUAAUUAAACAUAGAUUAAUGAUUCACACUCACUUUGGAAAAAGAUUGAGGAUUAACAUUCCUCUAUUGGAUUAGCAAUAGCGGGAUCUUCCAUUGAAAUAGAAUAUCCGUCCUAAUUGACCUUCCUAUUCAUCCGAACUAGCUAACUCAUGUUAUUAAUAUAUCAUUACUGUCAUAUAUACAACAACUACAAACUAUUGUAAACGGUCUUAUACAAUGUAUCACGAGCAUACUAUAAAAUCCUAUGAGUACAUUAGAGAAAAAAAACUCAUAAUAAAAAUCAAUAAUUAUUCUUAGUUCUUUAAAAAUAAAGUUAAUUAGACUAUUUUAUACUAAAAAUAAUUAUACUCGUUGUAAACCUAAACUGAUAAAAAUUAUUAUAUUUUUCUAAAGAUAAUAAAAUCCUUUAAAAAUAUAAAAAAGAACUAAAUAUAACUUAAUUGAAAUAAACAAAUAUAAAAACAAAUAUUUUCUCUUAUCUAUGUUUUUUAAAUUCUAAAAAUCGUCAAAUUAACACCGUAGUAUGUUUUACGAAGUACGAAAUAUAUUAUGGUAAUUACAUUUCAAAUCAAAUGUAGUUUCAAAUGUUUUUUUAUAGAAAACAUUUUAAUUCCCAAAAUUGUCCAUACAUUUAAUUUAUGAUAAUAUCUUGAUACCAUUUUCUAUUAUUGUUAAGAAAUUUAAUUACUUUUAAUUUCUAAUUUAAAUUUUGACUAUAAUAUUUUCAUGAAUACACAUACCUUAUAUCAUACAAGUUCAUUAUUGAAUAUAUUAAAACAAACUUUAAUAGUAAUAUUACAUUAUAUAAACCUAAAAAAAAUUUAUACCAUGGGAUGAAAAUCGAACACUUAAACAAUUUUUCUAAAUAAAUAUGAUUAUUUCAAUAUAAUACUUAUAUAUAUAUAUAUAUAUAUAUAUAUAUAUAUAUAUGUGUGUGUGUGUGUGUGUGUGUGUUUAAUAAGAAGGAACUGAAUAUGAAAUAGAUGAAUAUUUUAAAGGAUUGUGAGUUUGAUUUGUUAUAUCGUAUGGGUAAGAUGAAUGUAGUGACACACACUCUGAGUAGAAAGGCAGGGCAUGUGUCAUCUAUAAUGGUCAAAGACUUGUCUAGAAUUAUAGUUUGCUAAGACUUAUGUUAGAAGUGGAAGAAUUAAAUUUAAGCAAGUUUAAAGUAGUCAAGUUGGAUUUAAGGCAACUAACUAAUUAGAUUUAGAUAUGUGUGUUCAAAUGUUUCUCAUUGUCUAGAAUGUCUUAGGAAUAAGUUAAACUUGUAUAAAGGAUAGUAAAGGUCAUAUUAGAUGUGUAUUUGGUUUUGUUGUGACACUAAGCACUCCCUGGAAACCUCAUGAAUGUCCUUUUUGCACGAACUUUGGGUUGAAUGGCCCCUAAAUGCUCUUUGGGUGCCUAUUUUACGAAAAGAACUCGCUUGAGUGCCUGAGCGGUCCUUUUUAGGGGUUGACUGCCCCUUAACUAGAUUUUAGGUACUUGGUUUUGAUCUUGUAUUUUCUAAUGCAUUAUUUUGAAUCUUUUGUUGUAUGCAAAAUAGUUUAAAGUAAGUUUUGUUAUGAUACGUUGUUUUGUAUUUUCUUAUGCAUUGUUUUGAAUCUUUUGUUGUUGUUGAUAUUGUUUACAGGGUUGGUUCAUUGUAUUUCGUCAUUCUUUGGUUACACUUAUGAGAUGAUCAAGAUCAAAAUUAUAUCAUAAGCACAUAUAAAUAAUACACAAAUAAAAUAGUAAGAAGAUACAAAACAUGCCAUACAAGAUUAGUUUUUAUUAGAGCCGUCAAAAUGGGUCACAACCAGCGAGCCAACCCGGCCCGUCACGGGUUCGAGCCGGGUUGGGUUUGAAAAAUGCAACCCACUUAUAUGGGGUUAGAUUUCAACCCGGCUCAUUUAGAUCCGGCUCAUGCGGAACCCGUGGUGAGCCGGGUUGGCCCACCAACCCACCUACCUAAUUUUAUUAUUUUAAUUUGUUAUUUUAUUUAUGAAAUCCUAAAAAGUAAAACACUUUCUUCACUCACUGUGUAUACCAAAAAAGUAACCUCUACUCUCACAAAUCACUCUCACGACAUUUGCUCUCAUUUGACGGUGCUCUCACUGUCACUUCAGUGAAAUUCUUCAAGGAGCAGGUAAAACACUCUUCCUUUUUUCUUCUCUUUUCUCCACAUUUUUGUUUUCUCACUUCUCUUUCUCUUUUUUUUUUCAAAAACUCUAGAUGACAAAAAUAGGAGUUUGCGAAUUUGUUUUCUGUUCUGGGGGAUUUGAAGACAUGGAAUGAUUUUUUCAUGUUCUGACAUGCUUGUAUCAGAUUUUGUUCAUUUUAUUUAAACAAUUUGAGUAUACAUUAUUUGAACAAGCUCUUUUUGAUAUAUUUGAAUUUGAGAAAUUAUGUUACAUAUUAAACUAUUAAUUUUUCGUUGAUGUUGUUGAGUACUAGUUCUCUUUUUCUUGACUAAUAUUUUUUUAUUGAUUGUCAGAAUUGUUUUGAUAUUAGGAAAAUCUAUCAGUAAAUUUGGAGACAACAAGAACAAGGGUCAAGGGUUACAACAAGAACAAAAAAUUAUGAAUAUAAGAAACUUAUUUAUAUCUUUUUUGUGUUUGUUUUUUAAUGACAUUUAGAUUAUAUUGUACUUUUUAUUAUUGUUUCAAUUGUCUUUAACAUAAUUUUUUUGAAGUGAAAAUUGAUUAAAUUUAAAUUACAGAAAGUUUUUAUUUUUUUAUUUUAAAUAAAAUAUUAUUAAAUGAGUUAGUGAGUCAAUUCGUUUACCCACCAACCUAUGGUGAUCGGACCGGGUUCAAGUUUUUCUGACUCACUAAUAAAUGAGCCGGGUUGGGUUGACUCACUAAGUGACCAACCCGUGAUGGAUCGAACCAGGUCGAAUCGAGUUACACCUUUUGACCGUUCUAGUUUUUAUUGUGGUAAAAUUGUUGGACUAUCUUAAGCUAGUUAUUACUCAUCUUAAAAUAAGAUAAAUUCUUUAGAUUAGGAUCUCUUGUUACUUUCACAACAUAUUUCACCUAUCUUUAUUUGAGAAUAAAUGAUUAUUGAAGUAUUAAAAUGAAUCCUAAAAUUGAGUUUCUUAUAUUCGUAUUUACAUUAAUUGAAACCGUUACCAAAAGUUCUUUCGUGUAAUUCAUUUCCACAACUUUCCAUUCAAAACAUAUAUAUACACUUACAAUUUUAUGUAUCAUAAAAAAGUCGACUUUAAACCAUUUUAUAUGUGUCAUUUUACUUAGUUAUCUUUUAUAUAAAUUUUGAUUUUAUAGUUAUGUUAAAUUAUUAUAAAUAAUUUUAUAUUUCUCGUCUUAUCGAUUGUUCUAGUUUUAGUUUUAUUGUCGAUUGUUCUAGUAGUUUUAAUAAUUAUGUGAUAACUGUUUUAUAUUAUAAGAAUAUAUUUUGAAAUCUUACAAUUUUGGUAUGUAUAUAUAUAUAUAUAUAUAUAUAUAUAUAUAUAUAUAUAUAGUAUAAUAUAUGUAUAUAAAGGCACACAAGGAUGACAAGGAUGAUAAGGACAGGACAGAAAUGAAAAACUUAUCAUACCAUUCUUUUGCAGUGAAUUUGUGCCUAUCGUUGUAAAUUAUGAACUGAUUUAAUUUACCUUUCCAUAUAACCGCAUGCAUAAUAGUCACAAACACUCGACAGAUUUAUUACGACAGACCAAGCCUUGCACCUUGCAUAAGUAGAUUUAUUUAUAUGGUGCAACUUAAGUUCCUUUUUUCACAUAGCAACGAAGAUUCGGAAAGGGUAGUUUAAGGAGAAUCACACAGGAAUGAACACAAUAACUUCAAAGACUACAAUAAUAUCCAACCCAUACAUGUGGGUGGAUUUUUAUUAUGCUAAUUAACUACCUAGACAAGGAAUCGAGCUCCUUUAAGAAGUUGAUUUGGUAAUAGCUCCAGCUGAAGUCAGCAGAGGCACCAGCUUCCCCUGAUUGUGCAGUGCAGUUGU
rnacentral:lncRNA from 1 species